CCUACGGGUUGCACCAGUGGGGAAUAUUGCACAAUGGGCGCAAGCCUGAUGCAGCCAUGCCGCGUGUAUGAAGAAGGCCUUAGGGUUGUAAAGUACUUUCAGUUGGGAGGAAGGCGUUGAUGCUAAUAUCAUCAACGAUUGACGUUACCAACAGAAGAAGCACCGGCUAACUCCGUGCCAGCAGCCGCGGUAAUACGGAGGGUGCAAGCGUUAAUCGGAAUUACUGGGCGUAAAGCGCACGCAGGCGGUCUGUCAAGUCGGAUGUGAAAUCCCCGGGCUCAACCUGGGAACUGCAUUCGAAACUGGCAGGCUAGAGUCUUGUAGAGGGGGGUAGAAUUCCAGGUGUAGCGGUGAAAUGCGUAGAGAUCUGGAGGAAUACCGGUGGCGAAGGCGGCCCCCUGGACAAAGACUGACGCUCAGGUGCGAAAGCGUGGGGAGCAAACAGGAUUAGAUACCCGUGUAGUC
rnacentral:rRNA from 1 species